GUUGUAAUUUUUGUAAUACGAUUAAGGUUGCUCCGUUAAACAUGGCUUGUAAUAACACUGCACCUAAGUCCUACUUUGAUGAACUAUUUUUGUAAAUUAAGUUAUGUAAUGCUUCCGUUGUUUUACUCUGAAAUGCUACUUUGCUUAUGUAUUGUCCGUGAUACUGCAAUGUCUUCGCAAUGAAUGAUCCUGGUGUUAAUGUGGUCACUUGCU
rnacentral:lncRNA from 1 species